UGGGCUUAAGGUUUGAGAUUCUAUUGAACAUGAAGUAGUUUGGUGCCUUUUAUUAUCAAUGUAUCCCUCCUCCUGUAUAAUUUUGAACUAAGUUUUUCCAUCCUAAAACCUCAAAAACAAAGAAAUCAUAUGAUGGAUGAUUCUCCUAUUUUGUCUUGUCACAGAUAUAUGUGGGGACAGACUCCUGAAGUAAUCAGCUUGACUAUAGUUGUAUGGUCACUUAGUUGGCAUUGUGUAGUUAUAGUUGACCUUAUUCAGUUUUUAAAAGAUAUUUUUCAGCAUUUGCUCUUUGACUAUCUGUCUAGUGAGUCUAUUAAUGUUUUUGAUACUGAUUUCAUGUUGUGGUGCCUGUGAAUAUAUAUUUGGUGAAUAAAUUCCUUUUGCUUAUUUGAUCUUGCGAAGUAUUUUCUCACCAAACAUGAGCAAGAGGCAAAAAAAUACAUGAUAAACUCUCUUCCAUUGAUGCUGAACCCUUUUCAGUUUGUGAUGCUUUGGAAUCACUACUGUCUAUCUGCUUAUAGUCUUUACAUCCUACUUCUUUAGUUUGGUUUCAGUGAUUGUUCACAUUUAAUUGAAAUUAUUAAGUUUUUCCUCUUUAUUGACAAAGUAGUGUGUCAAGAUGUGAUGUGAAAAUUUCUUUCCUCACGCAGUGUUUGCUCAUACUAAGACCUGUGUAAGAGGUAUGCUUUUUCUUCUGAGUUGACAAAAUCAUCACAGUACUCAUGGUAAAUGGAUUUUUAUCUGCUGUAAAUUGUGUGUGAGAAUAUCACUCUUUGAUAGUUUGUGCUUGUAAACACAUCGUAUGUCCCCGAUGUCCCAAAACUGCCAGUAGUCCUUCAGGAGACACAGCGAGAACGAUAACAUGUCUUUGUUUUCCCCUGAACAUUGAGGAGACGGGGUUGGUGGAUGUUUCUUAAAUAUGCACAGAAAAGAUCUAUCUUGCUGUCAUGCCUGAAGCUCACUCAUGGUGUCAGUGUGUACUAGCUAACGAGAGAACACAGUCAUUCUCCACCCUUUUGUUUCAACGACAGUAUAUCCUGUCUGUGCUUUUGUAGUGAGCUUGUUCGUGUUGGAGAACUGUAAAAAGGUUUUCAUCGCAGAAUCUAGUGUGAGGUAAAUGUGAUCUGUACUAAGGUUUUUUUUGCCCGUCUGUUGGAUUUUUAUUGACACUAACGAUGGGAUUUAUUGGAUUCAUGCUGCAUGGCGGCCUAGCUGUUAUUUUUCUCGCCCUCCACCUCGUCUUCGGGGACGUGAGCUACUCCAUUCCGGAGGAGAUGAAACGCGGAUCUGUUAUUGGAAAUAUUGCGAAGGAUCUGGGACUGGAAUCGGGAAGACUGUCGGCUCGCAAUGCCCGCGUUGAUACUGAGGACAACAGUGUGAAGUACUGCAGCGUGAAUCUGAACACCGGAGAAUUAAUGGUGCAAGAAAGGAUCGACAGAGAGGGUCUUUGUGCGAAAAGAGCAUCAUGUGUUCUGAAACAAGAGCUCGUCCUGGAAAAUCCUUUAGAGGUGCACCGAAUAAAUAUCCGCGUUCAAGAUAUCAACGAUAAUUCACCUCAAUUUAAAGAAGAACAACUAAAAUUUGAAAUUCGUGAAUCCGCGGACAAGGGUGCGCGUUUCCUUCUGGGAGAGGCACACGAUGGAGACAUCGGGGAAAAUGCAGUACAGGGCUAUUCUCUUCAGCAGAAUGAUCAUUUUAAAUUAAAUGUACACACGAAAGGAGGUGGGCGAAAAUAUGGUGAACUGGUGUUAGAUAAAGAAUUAGACAGAGAGGUCACACAAGAGCUCAAGUUGUUACUAACUGCAUUUGAUGGAGGAUCUCCUCGUAGAUCAGGUACAGUCGUCAUUCACGUCACUGUACUGGAUGCUAAUGAUAAUGUACCAGUGUUCAGUCAGGCCGUUUAUAAAGCCAGUCUGCCUGAAAACUCUCCUGUAGAUACACUGGUGAUCACAGUGAGUGCUACUGAUGCAGACGAGGGUUCAAACAGUGAAAUCACAUAUGGAUUCGAUGAUGUUUCAGAUGACAACAACAUAUUUACUUUAGACUCUAAAUCCGGAGAAGUGACAGUAGCUGGUAACAUCGAUUAUGAAAAAGAAUCGUCAUAUGAAUUACAGAUAAGUGCGAAAGAUGGUCUAGGACUGAUUUCAUAUGCAACCCUAUUAAUUGAUGUCACUGACAUAAACGAUAACGCUCCAGUGAUAUACGUGAAAUCACUGACUAACCCCAUACCUGAGAACGUGUCACCUGGUACAGAGGUGGGCAUCAUUAACGUGCAGGACAGAGACUCUGAUAGUAACAGACAGGUCCGCUGCUCCAUUCCUCAAAAUGUCCCUUUUAAGUUGGUUCCUUCAAUUAAAAACUAUUAUUCUCUGGUGAGCACAGGACAACUGGACCGUGAACUAGUGUCUGAUUACAACAUUACAGUCAGUGCCACUGACGAGGGCUCUCCACCUCUGUCGUCGUCUAAAACUGUUCAGUUAUCUGUAGCAGACAUCAACGACAACCCACCUGUGUUUGAGGAGCAGUCGUACAGCGCAUAUGUGAGUGAGAAUAACAAAGCUGGCUCCACUUUAUGUUCCGUUAGUGCUCGAGACCCCGACUGGAGACAGAACGGUACAGUGAUUUAUUCUCUGUUAGGCGGUGAGGUGAACGGUGCCCCGGUGUCCUCCUAUGUGUCAGUGAACGGAGACACGGGGGUGAUCCACGCUGUGAGGUCGUUUGAUUAUGAACAGUUCCGGAGCUUCAAAGUUCAGGUGAUGGCCAGAGACAACGGUUCUCCUCCUCUCAGCAGCAACGUGACCGUGAGUGUGUUCAUAUCAGAUGUGAAUGACAACUCUCCUCAGAUCCUGUACCCCGGGCCAGAGGGCAAGUCGUUCAUGACCGAGCUGGUCCCCAAAGCUGCACACGGAGGCUCUCUGGUGUCCAAAGUGAUAGCGGUGGACGCGGACUCUGGACAGAACGCCUGGCUGUCGUAUCAAAUAGUGAAAUCCACUGAUCCGGGACUUUUCACUAUUGGUGUCCACAGUGGAGAGAUCAGGACCCAGCGGGACAUUUCUGAAUCUGACAGCAUGAAACAGAACCUUGUAGUGUCAGUGAAAGAUAACGGGCAGCCCUCUCUGUCUGCCACCUGUUCCAUGUAUUUACUGAUUUCUGAUAACUUGGCUGAGGUGCCAGAACUGAAGGACAUUUCUUAUGAUGAGAAGAACUCCAAACUGACCUCUUAUCUGAUCAUCGCGCUGGUGUGUGUGUCAACGUUUUUUCUGACCUUCAUCAUCAUCAUCCUUGGUGUGAGGUUUUGUCGCAGGAGAAAGCCCAGACUGUUGUUUGACGGAGCAGUGGCCAUCCCCAGCGCGUAUCUCCCUCCUAAUUACGCAGAUGUUGACGGCACAGGAACUUUACGCAGCGCUUACAAUUAUGACGCCUACCUGACAACAGGGUCUCGAACCAGUGACUUUAAGUUUGUGUCAUCGUACAAUGACAACACACUGCCAGCUGACCAGACUCUGAGGAAAAGUCCAUCAGACUUUGCUGAAGUGUUUGGAGACUGUGACGACUCUCCUGAGGUAGGAACACUUGCUAAAUAUAGUGUCAUGUGGUUAUCUCGAAAGUUUGAGAUAGUUUCAUGUAUUCACUUAUACCAUUCAGAAGAUUUUUUUUUGUGUUUUUUUGUGGAUUGUGUUAAAAACUCUUCUCUUCAAGCCUGAAAGUGUCGAUGUUUCCUUCAGUUGUAUCUAACCAGUAAUAAUUUAUGUAUACCGUGAUACUUAUUUUAGAGUUGUAUUUAUUAGCCUUUGUACCAGUGCCAUGAGUAUCCACUCGUGAUCAAGCGUUGUUUCAUUCACACAUUCUCCUUUUGUGUGCGUUUGAGGUUUUAAUCUUUUGCAGUCACCUUUCAUUUUGCUGAUAUCCAGUAUUUGUAUAAGUUCCUGUAAUCUUCAAGCAUGAAACAUGAAGAAGAGAACAUUUAUAGAAUACUUAAUAAUUUAAAAUUGUUUUUUAAAAUUUGGUCUGCUUUUGAUGAUUGGUUGACAAUAUUUAAGGAACCCCCCCCCCCCCCCCCCUUUUUUUUGCUUUGUUUAUCACCGUUCAGUCACCGCAAUUUGUCGAUGUUAUUUCGUGUUCUUAUACUCUUUUUGCUUAAAGAUCACUCACCCAUCAUCUUUACCAAUAGUGCAUUAUCGUCAGUGUGUUAUUGUAACACGGCCGUGGAAUUGCUCUUACCUGUCAUUUAUAUGAAAAAGGCAAAAGAAAAAAGAAAUUAAAUGGUGUUCUUAGAUGGGAAAGUUACUAGCCAGUUUUAUUGAUGAUUCCUUGACACACUGUACAAUAUAAGGUAAUUAAAAAUACAACAGAUUAUGUAAGGGUGCGAUAGAAACCUUUAAAAAGCUUUUAUGAAAAUCACACCCAAUAAACAUAGUCAUGUUAACAUGAAACCACCAAGACAAAUAAUAUCGGAGUUCACAUAUAUGUAGCUACAGUUAUUAGUUUUAAAAAGAAGGGCACAACUGUAGAAUUAAAACGUGCCUUAUAUUUUAGGAAACAAGAAUAGCUAACAUUGUCUUUCAAUGUCGAUUAAUGUUCCAAUGUUUUUGUUUUUGACAGCCGAGAGUCUUUUUUUUUGUCGCCAAUGACACAGACGGAGCAACCAGCUAAACAAGUCCAUGCUAUAGUGUGACACCUUAAUACCUCGCUUAAAUUUGAUGCAGAGUUGAAUGGUGUGUUUGUAUCUCCCGAAAAGACUGCUAAAAUAUAAUACCCAUUGAUGUUUCCGUCACUUGUUGUUAAAUGAUUCACAGUUCAAAGAAUAUAUAUUUUUUUACACUUUAGUCCACAGAGUAUUUGUAAACAAGAUCAGUAAUUUUCCAGUUUCCUUACGGUACCAAAGCACGUGCUGUAACUUUUCAGGUCACAAAUCUUGUGGUACGUCCAUUAACACUUUAAAUAUAUAAAAUAUAUGUAUUCCUCGUUCAGUCUGUCCCGUCACUUUCUUUUGUAAAUAUUAGGAUAAAUCUUUGAGUCUACGUUAAAGAACUCAAACGCUGUCCAUGGUGCUGAAAUAUCUGUUCCAUUUUGGCUCUCAUUAAGCCAAACUUCGAACAUCCCUACCAGAUCAUUUAAUUUAACGUCUUAACUGUGAAGUAGUGGCAGUGGUGUUGGUAUUUGAACUGUCUGAUAUAACUUUAUGGGUCCAGUAGUUGUUUGUUUUGCAGUAUCCCAAAUUCACUCACGGCGUCGCUGCUCACUCGCGGAUGUGAGACAGUAAAAUUCUCCACCCACUGCAGAAGGAGUCAUCGUAGCUUUCUAACCAAGGCUGCCGUCGUUCCACGGAGGUUCAUAUUCCUUUCACCGCUUGGUUUAGGUUGUAUACGUGAAAAGUAAAACCAACAGUUUUGAUCCUUUUUCGAGAAGUGAAAAACAUGGACCUCAGGAGGAAGCCUCGGUUGUUCUUUCUGUGCUGCCUCUCUUUUU